UACAGAGGGUGCAAGCGUUGUUCGGAAUUAUUGGGCGUAAAGGGCGCGUAGGCGGUGCGGUAAGUCUGUUGUGAAAUCUCUGGGCUCAACUCAGAGUCUGCAACGGAAACUGCCGUGCUUGAGUAUGGGAGAGGUGAGUGGAAUUCCCGGUGUAGCGGUGAAAUGCGUAGAUAUUGGGAGGAACACCGGUGGCGAAGGCGGCCCCCUGGACCGGUACUGACGCUGAGGCGCGAAAGCGUGGGGAGCGAUCCGG
rnacentral:rRNA from 1 species